rnacentral:lncRNA from 1 species
UGUUUUUUGCAUUCAGAUGUGUUUUGAAAAUGUUUAUCAAAACUGUACACUAACAGAUUAUAUGUGUUUGUUUAGUUUUCCUCUGUUCUGUGAGUCUGGCCUACUGGAAUCCCAAAUACUUGUACACUUCACCCUCUUCUAUGGAUUCAGGAGUCUCUCCAUUUUCAAGAGUGGAGUCUCCCUUCUUCAGGACUCCCUUUUCUAUGUGGAGUGUUUUGCAUUUGUCUAGAUCAAACUCCACGCAGAUGUCUUUUGAAAAAGUGUAUGUGAUUUGUAACAGCUGUUGUAAUUGUGUUUGUGUUGAGGAGUACAGCUUAAUGUCAUCCAUCUA